UUCUACUAAGCAGGCUCUGAACACUGACGAUAAUACUGAUGAGAAAUCAAUGCUAACAGUUGUUGGGAGGAUCGGAGGAGCAGUUCUACAACGAGGGCUUGUAAGGGUAUGAUCUGUUACCGGAUCCUAUCGCUGUGUCCGCAAUAACUGCCGCACGUAGGAUUGAUUUAGCAGAUAUCUCUAUCCGUUUGCGGUUGAUCACCGAAGCCAGUGAAGGAAACUAAUAAUAUCCAUGGAUUCGUUUGAUGGAUUUGAUCUGACACCUGCCUUUUACUAAUUCUUUCUCACAGCACAACCACCCCCUUCCCACACUACAAAUAUCAUCUUCGCCUUCUCUCUCUCUCGCUCUCUGCAUUGUGAUCGUUGGUAAGAUCUCGUCCUUUCCAUGGCGUUUACAGAUGCAAUUCCUUGCAUGUGCAUGAAAAAACCAUCCGUCUUUCUUUAGCAUUCGUACUGUUUACGUUGUCGGAGUUUGUUCUACGCUUGUUCUUUUUCGUCUUUUAACUCUUCUUCUUGGACUCGACGCCCUGCCUUUCCCUGAAUGGUGUUUGCUCACAGAUCAUGUCCACGGAAGAAUAUACGAUUGGUAUUGGUGUCUUCUUCCUCUCUGAUCACUGAUGCCUCAGUGUAAUCGUCAUCCAUCCAGUUCAUGAAUCAUCUUCUAUAUCCUAUUAUUACUUUUUUUCCAGCAAAAUCUCAGUGUUUUUUAAGCAACAGCAUUCUCCAUCAUUAAUAUUUGUAUCCGUGAGACAAAUAGCAGAAUUAUUUUACUCUAGUAGCUCAGUUGACAAAUCCUGCUGCCAUCUUUACCUGAGUUCUAAUUAUCAAGGUUCGAAUCUU
rnacentral:lncRNA from 1 species